ensembl:snoRNA
UUGGCCCUGAAUCAAGACCAGUAGUUUGCUGAAGCUGUUGGUUUCAAGCAGGAGUCUAAAGAAAUGCCUUUCCAUGGUCUGUUGACCAUUUCAGAACUUCAGAAAUAUAAUGUCACUUCAUUUGGAAGAAACACCA